UACGUAGGGGGCAAGCGUUGUCCGGAAUUACUGGGCGUAAAGGGCGCGUAGGUGGCCUUCUAAGUUGAACGUGAAAUCCCUGGGCUCAACCCAGGAACUGCGUCCAAGACUGGGAGGCUUGAAUCCGGGAGAGGGAUGCGGAAUUCCAGGUGUAGCGGUGAAAUGCGUAGAUAUCUGGAGGAACACCGGUGGCGAAGGCGGCAUCCUGGACCGGUAUUGACACUGAGGCGCGAAAGCCAGGGGAGCAAACGGGG
rnacentral:rRNA from 1 species